GACGAACCGUGCGAACGUUGUUCGGAAUCACUGGGCUUAAAGGGCGCGUAGGCGGCUCAUCAAGUCGGGGGUGAAAUCUUUCGGCCUAACCGGAAAAGUGCCUUCGAUACUGGUGAGCUUGAGCGAGGUAGGGGCAGAUGGAACUUCCGGUGGAGCGGUGAAAUGUGUUGAUAUCGGAAGGAACGCCGGUGGCGAAAGCGAUCUGCUGGACCUCUUCUGACGCUGAGGCGCGAAAGCUAGGGGAGCAAACGGG
rnacentral:rRNA from 1 species